rnacentral:lncRNA from 1 species
UCUAAGGCAAGGAAUCAGACAUUUUUAAGCACAACCGUUGAUUAACCUAAAUCAAAUGGACAAGAUCUUGUCUCUCUAAUCUCUUCUCUUGUAUUUCUUUCCGUCCCUUUCUCUUCUCUUUAGCUUUCACUUUUUUUUUCUUCGUUAAUCUCAUGUUUCCUAAUCUCACAAAUUUUGUCUCUCUAGUCUCUUUCUUCACCACCACUAAACCUUUGUCACAACCGGACCUCGUCUUCGCCUCCCCCACAGCUUGUCGUCUUUACAGCCAUAGCUCGCGUCGUCACCACCAUAGCUUGGUAAAGUCACUUCCUCUUAUAUGUUCUCUCUUUCUUUUCAUCUUCCUAUUUACUUGUAAUUAAUUUUUGUUUUGGUUACAGAUCUAAGAAGGAGCAGGGAAGGAGAAGAAGUGGUGUUUUGUUUUUCUGUUAUUAGUUAAAAAAAUGCGGAGGAUUUUGUUGCUAGCCACCUCGAGGUUUGUCUCAUACCAAUUCCCCAACCAUUUCUAUGUCUUUCAAAGAAUAUUGUUGAACAUUUGUGUAUGGCUUGCAGUUAUUUAUGAUAGAGGACGACUAUAUUCAAGUUAGGGAAGAUGCAAAGAAAAUGGCUCGAUCUCAGGGAUUAAAGAAGAGAACAGAGGCUUGAGGCGGAUGCUCUGGAGGCUGGAGGCGGAGGACUACGGUUACAAAGCUGGAGGCGGAGGCUCUGGGAGCGGCUUAGGUUUUAGGUUUAGGACCUUAGGUUAAUUAUGUUUUGGUUUAAUGUCUUUAAUUAGUUUUUGGUUUAAUGUUUUCUUUAAUUAUAUGUAUACUG